ensembl:lncRNA
AUGGAAUACUACUCAGCCAUUAAAAAGAACAAAAUAAUGCCAUUUGCAGCAACAUGGAUGGAACUAGAGACUCUCAUACUGAGUGAAGUAAGGAGGAGAAAAGGAACAAGAAAAAUUGGAAAGAUAAAUGUGGUCUUUCCAGUGAAGGUGAGCUUGAUUUUUUUUUUUUUUCUGUUGAACUCUGAUAAGACAGCAAAGAUUAGAUUAAUUAACGAUUAAUAACAAAUUAAAAUUAGUGAGAAUGGAAUAGGGUACCUAGUUCUACCUAGAUAUUUGUAUUUAAAUUUUACUCUGCAUUCAUCAUGUGUCCCAUUUGAAAAUAAUGUUUCUAUGAACUACAGUAUCAGAAGGGUUUGAGUGUAAAAAAGGGCCUUCCUUAUUUAAAAUUUCAUCUAAGACAAGAUCCUAGAACAUUUUAAAGAGAAUUAAGGAUAAAAAGCUAGCCAUUUUAAAAUAAAGUUUCUCCUUUAAUGUAGCCACAAAAUACAAAAUAAACUUGCCUUCUUUCUUAAAUUUUAAUGGAAUUUAGAUGUGUCUCAGAGAGAUUUAUGGCCUUGAGCACUAGUCAUACCCAUGGAAGCAAUAUAUCAGCCUUAGUAGAGCUGAAGAAGUUUAUACACAAGGAAAUAUUACCUUGGUUUGCUGGACUUGGAUUAAUUUCUAACCUUCAGUUUUUUCAAAUUUUAUUUUGAUUUUUACUUUUGAAAAAAAAAACCCAAAAUUGGAAUUUAAUUUAUAGAAUUUUCACUUUGAAAUGAAUAUGUGAACAUAGAUGCUUUAUGUUUAGAAAUUAUUAUCCAUGGGGCCAUAUAUACAUAAUAUUCUACAAAAGCUGCAAAAAAAGUAAAACAAUGAAAAACUUUAUUAGUGUUAUAUAAACCUAGUCAAAUAUUUUUUAAAAAUAGGAACAAAUUUCACAUGGUUAGAGAGGGUUUUUUUUUUUUACUAAAAAUAAAUCUUUUGAACUUUUCUAUGAUAAGGAAUUUAAUUUUAUUUACAUUAUUUUCUCUUUUAAAUGAUUUCCACGUACACAUAUUAGAGUCAUACCAUCUAUUUUAAUCAUAAUUCAAGGUUAAAAGUCGUUAAAUCUGCUCACAAUUUUGCCACACAUGGUGCUUGAUCUUAGUUCUAAGAUGUUGACUAAGAUUGUUUAUUUUCUAUUCUGCAUAAAGUUAUUAUGAUGUGUUCAAUACAUUUAACUUUGAAGCCAUUUUCCAAUUAUCUGGCAGUAACCUAUACAGAAUAUUACCUCAUUUCCUUUCUUUCAGUUAUUCCUAUGUAAAUCUCCCAAUAUAGAGAGCACACAAAAAUAAAAUAAAAUUGUUGCUAGGGGCUGUGAACCUUAAAGUGAGAGGUUAGACCCUGACCUCAAAGAGAUUACUAUCUGCUUUCAGAGUUAAAGUUAAAGCAAAUAAGAAGAAACAAUAAAUGCAAGUGAUACAUUUUUUGUGUGGAUCAUGUUCUAGAGACGUUUGGAAACAAGAGUGUGUAGACAUUGCUCCAACAUCUCUAGGAACCAGGGUAGGCUCCACAAAAGGGCUGAACUUUUGGAAGCUAAGGAAUAAGGAGGAGUUAGAGGCACCCAGAGAGCCUUAUGUUGGACAAUUAAAUGUCAAAUAAGCAGCUGCUAUCACUUAUUUGCCUUUGCAAAUAAUACUGAAAAUGAUAUUUUUUGCAAAUGAAUUGAACUUACUCAUUUUUUGGUAUAGCCGCAUAUUGUAUUCUCUCAUGAAACACAAGAAAAAAAUAACUAGAUAAUUAUUAUUUGUGAUUAAUAAAAAUAUGUCAUAUAUGUUAAAAAUACAUUUUAUAUGUAGCAAGGUCCAAGGUUACGGAAGUGCUAUCUAUACAGACACAAACAGUUUGAAACAAAAGGGAAUUUAAUUAAGGGAUUUUUUUUUUAUACCCCAUUAUUGAAUUGCUAUUUACCUGAAUUGAUUUGUUUUCAAAAUAUUGUUAUUACUAUUAUUUCAAAACAUCUGCAUGAAAAGAUACAGAAAAUUGAAAAAGUAUAACAUCCACAAACAAUUUUAAAAAAUACUGAGGAGUUCCUGUGGUGGCACUGUAGAAACACAUCCAACUAGUAACCAUGAGUUUGCGGGUUCAAUCCCUAGCCUUACUCAGUGGUUUAAGGAUCUGUUGUUGCCCUGAGCUGUUGUGUAAGUUGCAGAUGUGGCUUGAAUCCUGCUUUUCUGUGGCUGUGGUGUAGGCAGGUAGCUGUAGCUCCUAUUUGACCCCUAGCCUGGGAACCUCCACGUGCCGCACAUGUGGCCCUAAAAAGCAAAAAAAAAAAAAAAAAAAAAAGCUGACCUAAAAUUCUUCAAUAACAAUAUAUUAAUGUCUUUAAAAUAUAAUGAAUCUACAUAUACAGUAUAAGAGGAGAAUUGUUUCUAUUUAUUCUUUUUCUAAGGAAAAGUAGAUCACCUUAGUGCUCUGUAUUCUCUUAUAGUUGAUCAUGUGAAAGAGGCCCAUACUGAGUGGUUAUAAUUUGGCUAUUUUAAUUGCUUAUAUGAAAGUUGUCCAUCUGAAUGCUUAUAAUUACCAUGUAAAGUAUACCUUUAUUUCAGGGCAAACUUCUCUCCUAUGUACUGGUUUGCCUCACAUGCACUAUCUCAAUCCUUCCAAACCUAAACUCCUCUAUAUUUACUCUUUUUCGGGUGCAACUCAUAGUAGUCAGUGACGUCACAUUUACCCAGGUGUACAAGACAGGCUCUUGGGAAUGACACUUGACCAUCAUUCUGAGAGCCAUUUGAUCUCCAAUUUCUAUUACAUAGACUCUUUGCAUAUUUUCAUAAUUGAUUUCAAGCUUAUGAUAGUUAAUUUUAUGUGUUAAUUUGACUGGGCUGAGGAAUGCCUGAACAUUUGGUUAAAUAGUCUAGGUGUGUCUGUGAGGAUGUUUCUGGAUAAAAUUAGCAUUGAAGCAGUAGAUCAAGUAACAUAGAUUUCCUUCCCUAGUAUAGUUGGGUCCCAUUCAAUCUGUUGGAAGCCUGAAUACCACAAAAAUCCCAAUUCUCCCAAGAGUAAGAAGGAAUUCCUCCUGCCUGACUGCUUUCAAAGUAACAUUGGUAUUUUUCCCUGCCUUUGGACUGAAACUGAAACAAAGACUCUUCCUGGGUGUCAAGUCUUCUGGCCUUUGGAGAGCUCUCCUAGCUCUCUAAUCUCUCCAGCUUGCCAACUGUAGAUUACAUUCUAUUGGUUCUGUUUCUGGAGGACUCUGAAUAUCAUAAAUCCUUGGCACUUCUCUUCUUGGAUUUUGUAUUACUCCCUUAAAUCCUGUCCUUUUUCUCACCCUUUCCAUAUACCUAAUAUAUACCUGCCCAUAUUAUAUUAUAAUAUAAUUA